rnacentral:rRNA from 1 species
AAGUCGUAACAAGGUUUCCGUAGGUGAACCUGCGGAAGGAUCAUUACAAGGUUUUCGUGCCUCGUCCAUGUUAUCAAUCCACCUCUGAGUACCUAUCCUGUUGCUUCCGUGGGGCAUGGCACUUGGUGCCUGGUGGGCUUUUUUGGUAAGUCCCCACGAAUCAAAUUCUUGUUCAAUUAUGCCAUCGGUAGUCUGACCUUGUUUAUAACAAAUGUUAAAACUUUCAGCAACGGAUCUCUUGGUUCUCGCAUCGAUGAAGAACGCAGCGAAAUGCGAUAAGUAGUGUGAAUUGCAGAAUUCAGUGAAUCAUCGAAUCUUUGAACGCACAUUGCGCCUCUUGGUAUUCCGGGAGGCAUGCCUGUUCGAGCGUCAUUAAGAAAGCACUCAAGCUCUUUUGCUUGGUCAUGGAGGCAGAGAGCGGCAACGUUCUCCCCUCCAAAAUACAAAGGCGGAUUGCACCACGUGUCCUGGCGUAGUAAGUUUUAUCAUUUCGCUAGGUGAUGUCGUGUGGCCCUGUCGCAAACCCCCCAUACCUUAACAUGCUGACCUCGGAUCAGGUAGGGAUACCCGCUGAACUUAA